CCUACGGGCGGCAGCAGUGAGGAAUAUUGGUCAAUGGACGAGAGUCUGAACCAGCCAAGUAGCGUGCAGGAUGACGGCCCUAUGGGUUGUAAACUUCUUUUAUAUGGGAAUAAAAUGUGCCACGUGUGGCAUUUUGUAUGUACCCUAUGAAUAAGGAUCGGCUAACUCCGUGCCAGCAGCCGCGGUAAUACGGAGGGUCCGAGCGUUAUCCGGAUUUAUUGGGUUUAAAGGGAGCGUAGGUGGACUGUUAAGUGAGUUGUGAAAGUUUGCGGCUCAACCGUAAAAUUGCAGUUGAAACUGGCAGUCUUGAGUACGCCAGAGGUGGGCGGAAUUCGUGGUGUAGCGGUGAAAUGCUUAGAUAUCACGAAGAACUCCGAUUGCGAAGGCAGUUCACUGGAGUGUAACUGACACUGAGGCUCGAAAGUGUGGGUAUCGAACAGGAUUAGAUACCCUGGUAGUC
rnacentral:rRNA from 1 species